rnacentral:tRNA from 1 species
UGGCGAUUAGCGUAAUGGUAGCGCAACAGACUUUGACUCUGUAAGUACAAGUUCAAUUCUCGUAUCGCCAG